UACGUAGGAGACAAGCGUUGUCCGGAAUUACUGGGUGUAAAGAGCGUGUAGGCGGCCAGACAGGUCCGUUGUGAAAACUCGAGGCUCAACCUCGAGAUGUCGAUGGAAACCGUCUGGCUAGAGUCCGGAAGAGGAGUGUGGAAUUCCUAGUGUAGAGGUGAAAUUCGUAGAUAUUAGGAAGAACACCGGUGGCGAAGGCGGCCCACUGGCCCGGUACUGACGCUGAGGUGCGAAAGCGUGGGGAGCAAACAGG
rnacentral:rRNA from 1 species